GAGGAAUAUUGGUCAAUGGGCGAGAGCCUGAACCAGCCAAGUAGCGUGCAGGAUGACGGCCCUAUGGGUUGUAAACUGCUUUUGAAGGGGAGUAAAGUGAGUGACGAGUCACUCAUUGCAAGUACCCUUGGAAUAAGGACCGGCUAAUUCCGUGCCAGCAGCCGCGGUAAUACGGAAGGUCCGGGCGUUAUCCGGAUUUAUUGGGUUUAAAGGGAGCGCAGGCCGUCGGUUAAGCGUGUUGUGAAAUGCAGAUGCCCAACAUCUGACUUGCAGCGCGAACUGGCUGACUUGAGUACGCACGACGUUGGCGGAAUUUGCCGUGUAGCGGUGAAAUGCUUAGAUAUCACGAAGAACCCCGAUUGCGAAGGCAGCUUGCGGGAGCGCAUCUGACGCUGAAGCUCGAAAGUGCGGGAAUCAAAC
rnacentral:rRNA from 1 species